rnacentral:misc_RNA from 1 species
AUGGGUAAAAAGAAGGGCACAAUGGCAAUGGACAAUUAGCCUGUGCGUCUCGCUCCUGGCGCAUGAUCACCGUGCAAACGCUAAGAGCAGCUCUCGCCACUCCUCAUUCGCCGGGUUCUAAUCGACCUUAAUUUCCCCGUGAAACACUAAAUCUACCCUCAAACAGGUUGCCUGGCUAGCCUCAAUAAAGCAAGAAGGGAAACGGCUUCGAACACCGAUCAUUACCGUCUCAGUUCAGCUUGCACCGAUCUCAGCUCACCAUGGGCUCGCCUUCGGAUUCCGCAUACUAUUUAUUACAGCAGGAAUCCUCGUCGCGAUCCUCCAAUAUCACGCAUACAUAGAGAAAUGGUAGGCAGAGUGAAGGAGAAGAGGAAGAGAAAGAGCAAGAGAAG